rnacentral:rRNA from 1 species
UGCGGUUCAAUUGGAGUCAACGCCGGGAAUCUUACCGGGAGCGACAGCAGAUUGAAGGUCAAGCUGAAGACUUUACCAGACGAGCUGAGAGGAGGUGCAUGGCCGUCGCCAGCUCGUGCCGUGAGGCGUCCUGUUAAGUCAGGCAACGAGCGAGACCCCUACUUCUAAUUGCUUUAACAGGUAUCGCAAGGUGUUUGUGGCUAGUUAGAAGGACUGCCGCCGCUAAGGCGGAGGAAGGAAGGGGCCACGGCAGGUCAGUAUGCCCCGAAACUCCCGGGCCACACGCGGGCUGCAAUGGUAAGGACAAUGGGUUCCGAUCUCGAAAGAGCUAGGCAAUCCCCAAACCUUACCCCAGUUGUGACUGAGGGCUGUAACCCGCCCUUACGAAUCUGGAAUCCCUAGUAACCGCGUGUCACCAUCGCGCGGUGAAUACGUCCCUGCUCCUUGCACACACCGCCCGUCGCUUCACCGAAGUUGGGCUAGGACGAGGUGGCGUCUUGUUGGCGCUAUCGAAUCUUAGCUCGGCAACGGGGGAGAAGUCGUAACAAGGUGGCCGUAGGGGAACCUGCGGCUGGAUCACCUCCUU